GCGUGGAACGUGCAAUACUGAGACUACUGAUAUCUGAAUAACGGAAAAGGAAGUACUUAGAGCAAGUUGCUGGUUGCAUACACGGUAUUGAAUCGACUAAACAAUAUAACCAAUAAGAUUUUAACUUCUUUUUAUUCCUUAAUACCGUCAAGUCAACCUUGUUAAAAAUGCCAUUAAUCAUCAAGUGGUGGAUGUGGAGUGUGACGGUUAUUUGCUCCUGAUCCCGGAUAGUCGCCUCUUUCUAUAUCCAUCCUGCGAUUAAUCAACUCUCCAUCGAUUUCUAUGGUUUCUUCAACAUUUUGUUCUGUUGUGAUCUUCUUCAUUGAUGAAAAGACAAAAUAAAAUAAAUAAAUAAGUAAAACAGAAUUUAUAAAAAGACAUCAGUAUUAUAUAAUAGAAGUUAGCUAUAUGUUUUAUGGUUAAAAGUUCAACUUUAUGUAACAUACCUGGAAAGUAUUCCCAGGUAUUGGAAUAUCCUUUCUUUCUUGUAACAGGAGGAUAGUUCCUGUAAAUACCAACAAAUUAAGUUCAGCGAAAAAACGGAUUAGUAAGCAAAAAAAGCACACAUACCCCAGCAUGUAUUUAAGUUGGAUUGGCCAAUGUAAGAUAGAAAAACGAAUAUAACAAGUUGAAAUCUUGUCUUCUUUCCAGUACAAACAUUUAACUUAGGCUAUGAGAAUAGAAGAUUUACUCGAUGUCGGGACAGCAUUCAAAGAAAUAAGGCAAGAUAAAGCCAGUAAAGUCACAAGUAGAUGAAGUGCAUUGCCUGCCAUUUUCUACAACAUUAAGGUGUGCCACUUGUUGGAAAGGCAGUCCUUAUUUAUACAUGUAUCUUGAGAAACAAAGAAAUUAUUCAUUUAUUCUGCUGAUGUCCAAAAGGUGAAAAUAAUCAUAUUGUGGAGAGAUACCUAACAUAUUGUUCGCAUCCAUUAUCUUGAAAUAUUGUGUACUGUCUGCUCUUUUGGUUACUUUUGUGGGAUUUUUAGCAGGAUUUUAAAUUUUUUUAUGGGUCAGCUUGUACUAUAUUUCCAGUUCACUGCACACUUGCACUUCUUUUGGGGCACCCCUAGUUUUAUAUGAGGUUAUUGAGUUGGAUUAAUGGAGCACUGCGUAAUUGAAUAAAACUCAAAGCUUAAACCAGAGUGAAAAGUAGAUUCCACCAGAAAAGUGAAAGUGUGAUACUGAAGGAUGCAUAUAUAAAUUGUAGCUUUUUUGCUUUUAAAGAAAAAUAAAAUUCAAUGCUUAGUGGAAAAUUAUCUCAUGAGGAAAAAGACCGUGUUAAUGGCAUGCUUGGUUUGCUAGAUUGGUUGAAACUAGAUAUAAAAACUCACGAAUUCAAUAACAUACCUCUCGUUUUUAGCCAUGUCGAGUCAAGAUUAUCAUAUAUGUUCUCAGAAGACUAUGAGAAAUGCUGAAAAUUAUCUCGCGUUCAAAGUUGCAAGGUAUUUUGUUCCAAUAGAUUUUUAUCUCAUGCCUUUCACCGUUCAUGGUUGG
rnacentral:lncRNA from 1 species